UUGAAGUGGUGAUUAAUUAUAGCUUCCCUUUGACGACUGAAGAUUAUGUCCAUAGAAUAGGGCGGACAGGACGUGCCGGGAAGAAGGGGGUUGCACAUACCUUCUUCACAAAGGAAAAUAAGGGCCUUGCUGGGGAACUUGUGAAUGUUCUU